UGCAAAGGGUCUGUAGGGACUUAGCUGU
rnacentral:piRNA from 1 species